GUUUUUUAAUUGCAAUACUGAUGUAUUUUGCACUUUUAACACCGAUUUCUCGAGCGAUACGGAUUGGACGUCCGCGGCGACUUCGUCGGCGGAAAGAGCGGAAACAAUUAUAUCGGAAUAUGACAAAGAUAUAUUUCCGAUCGCCCUUUUGGAAUCGUGCAGGAGGGAAAAAAGGAACCGCUCUUUGCGAGAAGAGCAUUCAUUCACCGAAACCAGCCAGGUAUCUCGACGCAGAAAGUGAAACCUUGACUCAUGCUGAGUCGAUAAUACCUGCGCAACGUCGCAGCAACGACAUACCUGUCAUUCAUUCAUUCAUUCAUUAAAAUGUAUCUACAAUAUACGUGAAGAGCGUCCGAGCGCCAUUCCUCUCCCUCAAGGCAUGUUUCAACGAUGUAUUUUAGCAUAACGUGCCGAUCGGAAAUAUUUAAUUAAUUAAGUUAGCAUAAUCGGUUUUAUUUACAUUUGAAUAGCAAAUCAUUUAGAUGUAAAUGUAAUCAUUGAAUGUAAAUACAAUCUAAUAAAGACUCCUCGACUUUCAAGACCGAUGCACACGAAUCUCGUUGACGCGUCCAAUCGUACGUUGCGAUUAUAUUUAAUAUUUAACUUUCGCUGCGGCACGCUUCGAUAAAAAAAGUGCCGUGUGCGGCACGAUAUUCGAUUGUGUUCGAUUGUGCGAUGAUGAGGCAGAUGAUUCAAAUUAGGAUCGCGAGCGUAAUAGUAGCACCGCGUGCAAGAGACGUACUUAUGGGACAUUUAACUCGCAUGUUCACACGGCUGCAUACACAUGUAACAAAGGAUCUUCGUUGACCUUGGAAAAUAAUAAGAAAGCAAAUCGACAAAUAAACGUCUUCGCAAUUUUCGAGUCACCAAA